rnacentral:rRNA from 1 species
UACGUAGGCAGCGAGCGUUGUUCGGAAUUACUGGGCGUAAAGAGUGUGUAGGCGGUGCUCUAAGUUCGGUGUGAAAUCUCCCGCUUAACUGGGAGGGUGCGCCGGAAACUGGAGUGCUCGAGCGUGGGAGAGGAAAGCGGAAUCCUGGUGUAGCGGUGAAAUGCGUAGAUAUCAGGAGGAACACCUGCGGUGUAGACGGCUUUCUGGACCAUUGCUGACGCUAAGACACGAAAGCGUGGGUAGCAAACAGG